CAUCUAAGCACGAAACUUGCCCCGAGAUGAGUGCUCCCUGAGAAUUGAAGUCUCCUGAAGGAACGUUAAAGACGAUGACGUUGAUAGGCCGGGGGUGUAAGCGCAGCGAUGCGUUGAGCUAACCGGUACUAAUGAACCGUGAGGCUUAACCUUACAACGCCGAAG
rnacentral:rRNA from 1 species